UCUAUGCCAUUUAGUGUCGUGUCAACCAG
rnacentral:sRNA from 1 species